rnacentral:rRNA from 1 species
UGGGGAAUAUUGCACAAUGGGGGAAACCCUGAUGCAGCGACGCCGCGUGAGCGAAGAAGUAUUUCGGUAUGUAAAGCUCUAUCAGCAGGGAAGAAGAAUGACGGUACCUGACUAAGAAGCACCGGCUAAAUACGUGCCAGCAGCCGCGGUAAUACGUAUGGUGCAAGCGUUAUCCGGAUUUACUGGGUGUAAAGGGAGCGCAGGCGGUGCGGCAAGUCUGAUGUGAAAGCCCGGGGCUCAACCCCGGUACUGCAUUGGAAACUGUGAAGCUGGAGUGUCGGAGAGGUAAAGUGGAAUUCCUAGUGUAGCGGUGAAAUGCGUAGAUAUUAGGAAGAACACCAGUGGCGAAGGCGGCUUACUGGACGAUUACUGACGCUGAGGCUCGAAAGCGUGGGGA